UAAAAAGUGUUGUUUUUCUUAAUUGUGAGUUCUCAAAAGUGAAACUUGGCCAACUUAAGGCCACGACAAAUCUCGCGCACCGAAAAUAAUGUCGAUCAGACCAAAACUCCAAAGAAAUCAAUCAUGCGAGCGGAGCAAGCACCAAACUCGACGCGCACUCUACAGGAAGAUUGCUUGUCAGCGCGUCGUUUUUUUUUGCUUCACAGGACUUUUCAUAUUUUUACCCGUUUUAUUUUACUUAAGUGGCAACAUUUAAUAUGGAGCAACCUCUAGUUGUUGCUUUUAACAAAUAAGAAGUGUUUUUGCCAUUCUGUUGUCAAGUCUGUGAAGUGUAAAAGAUGAAGUGUAGAAGAUUGUUUUCGGUACAUCUCGCUCAUGCUCAGGGGCAAAACAAUUUGAAAUCGUGUGUACUCGCACUGAUUUCCCCCCUUGAGGGGCAAGGGGGAGUGAGGUAGCUGUCUAGUAUCUAACUGUGACCGGACGGUUGGCUAUCAUUCAAAAUGAUAGUGCCGAAAGGAUUCUAAAAACUAGGGGGAAAGUUUUUCGUAUUGGAUCACAUUUGUCGUGCGAUUUUGUGUUGGAUAAUUCGGACGCCAAAAGAGUUCAUUGUGAAAUUCAGAGCGAUUCAUUCGGAAGGAUCACGAUUACGAAUCAUGGCAAAAGGAACCCUGUUUUGGUAAACGAGGUCCCCUUGAAAGGUAUGCGUCCUCUGUGCACGGGAAGUGUUGUAACGAUUUUCGAAAAGAAACUACGUUGGAUUAACAAGAAUAAGGUCCCGCGAGUCACAUAUCAGUCUAGAUAUAAUGAAAUACUAGCAAAAGCAAUGCAACACCUUGCGCAUGCAGCUGAGUAAGCAGUUUGCAAUUUGACCCUUUAUAAAAAUUCCACAAUAUGGCAAAAAUGCAGACGACAGGUCAGCACUUUAUUCUGAAUAAAUUAGCGACUGAUAUGUGGUUUCUCGCAGUCCGUUCUUGAUACCUUUAGCUGUAACGCUGUCCGUGUAAUUUUGAAUCAUUUCAUUAAUAAAUUCUAUUAAGUAAAAA